AGUGAACGCUGGCGGUAGGCCUAACACAUGCAAGUCGAACGGCAGCACAGUAAGAGCUUGCUCUUACGGGUGGCGAGUGGCGGACGGGUGAGGAAUACAUCGGAAUCUACUUUGUCGGGGGGGAUAACGUAGGGAAACUUACGCUAAUACCGCAUACGACCUACGGGUGAAAGCAGGGGAUCUUCGGACUUUGCGCGAUUGAAUGAGCCGAUGUCGGAUUAGCUAGUUGGCGGGGUAAAGGCCCACCAAGGCGACGAUCCGUAGCUGGUCUGAGAGGAUGAUCAGCCACACUGGAACUGAGACACGGUCCAGACUCCUACGGGAGGCAGCAGUGGGGAAUAUUGGACAAAGGGCGCAAGCCUGAUCCAGCCAUACCGCGUGGGUGAAGAAGGCCUUCGGGUUGUAAAGCCCUUUUGUUGGGAAAGAAAAGCAGCAGGUUAAUACGCCGCUGUUCUGACGGUACCCAAAGAAUAAGCACCGGCUAACUUCGUG
rnacentral:rRNA from 1 species